AUGUACCACUUAUGCACUCCGGCUCCUCCACGCCGCCCUACCUGACGACCGCUAGCGACGUUUUGUUAGCC
rnacentral:sRNA from 1 species